GUUGUUGUGGCUGAGUAGUUAAAGCGAUGGCCUUCAAAUCCAGUGAGGUUUCCCCGUGCAGUUUCAAAUCCCGCCGAUAAUA